GCGAGCUGAAGUCUGGAAGCCUGGUUCGUAGUCUCCUGCCUUGCUACAGCUCAACCGGGGAACGACCGUCCUCCAGUGGUGCAGAUCGGUAGCUGAGCAGGCCCAGCCAGAAGUCGUCGUGAUUUUCUUGCGUUUUUUUUCAUGAUCCGUUUUACUAUUUGGACGCCUUUCUCCGCUAGUCCAUUGGACUGUGGGAAGCCAGGACUAGAUGUCACGUGCUUGAAGUCGUACCUGGACGCAAAGGUGGCAAACUCGUGAGAUGCCAACUGGGGGCCGUUGUCACUGCAUACCUUGACGGGGAUUCCAUAUCGCGCAAAAAUGCAGCUCAAUUUGGCAAUGAUCGUGCUCGACGUGGUGUCGCCCAGUUCUUCCACUUCUGGGAAGUUUGACUGCGCAUCGAAGACGCACAAGUACGAGCUUCCCCCAUGCUGAAAGAUAUCAACGCCGACUCUGUACCAAGCGUGAUCUGGCGUUGGUCAGAGCAU
rnacentral:lncRNA from 1 species